rnacentral:sRNA from 1 species
UAGUGAGUUAUUCAUUGCUGCUUGAAA